ensembl:snRNA U6 U6 spliceosomal RNA
GUGCUCGCUUCACCAGCACAUAUACUAAAAUUGGAAUGAUACAGAGAAAAUUAGCAUGGCCUCUGUGCAAGAAUGAUACAUAAAUUUGUGAAGCAUUCCAUAUUUUA